rnacentral:rRNA from 1 species
CCUACGGGUGGCAGCAGUGGGGAAUAUUGCACAAUGGGCGCAAGCCUGAUGCAGCGACGCCGCGUGAGGGAUGGAGGCCUUCGGGUUGUGAACCUCUUUCGCUCAUGGUCAAGCCGCAACUCGUGGUUGUGGUGAGGGUAGUGGGUAAAGAAGCGCCGGCUAACUACGUGCCAGCAGCCGCGGUAAUACGUAGGGCGCGAGCGUUGUCCGGAAUUAUUGGGCGUAAAGGGCUUGUAGGCGGCUGGUCGCGUCUGCCGUGAAAUCCUCUGGCUCAGCUGGGGGCGUGCGGUGGGUACGGGCUGGCUUGAGUGCGGUAGGGGAGACUGGAACUCCUGGUGUAGCGGUGGAAUGCGCAGAUAUCAGGAGGAACACCGGUGGCGAAGGCGGGUCUCUGGGCCGUUACUGACGCUGAGGAGCGAAAGCGUGGGGAGCGAACAGGAUUAGAUACCCGUGUAGUC